rnacentral:rRNA from 1 species
AAUGAACGCUGGCGGCAUGCCUAACACAUGCAAGUCGAACGAGACCUGCGGGCUUAGUGGCGCACGGGUGCGUGAAGCGGGGGAACAUGCCCAGAGGUCCGGAAGAAAGCGGCGAAAGGGGUGCGAAUACCGGCGAAUGUACCCGGAACAAAGGUUGAACGACAUUGGAUGGGCCUUCGAUGGAUUAGCAGGUUGGUAGGGUAAACGCCUAUCACGGCGACGAUGGUUAGCUGGUUUGAGAGGAUGAUCAGCGACACUGGCACGAGGACACGGUCAGGACUCCUACGGGAGGCAGCAGUGGCUGAUAUUGGACUGCGGGCGAUGGGCUGAACGAGCUAUGCCGGUAAAGUGAUGAAGGUCUUAGGGAUGUACAGCUCUUUUACCCGGUAUGGUAAUGACAGUACCGGGAGAAUAAGCUCCGGCUAACUCCGUG